rnacentral:rRNA from 1 species
UACGAAGGGGGCUAGCGUUGCUCGGAAUCACUGGGCGUAAAGGGUGCGUAGGCGGGUUUUAAGUCAGAGGUGAAAUCCUGGAGCUCAACUCCAGAACUGCCUUUGAUACUGAAAGUCUUGAGUAUGGGAGAGGUGAGUGGAACUGCGAGUGUAGAGGUGAAAUUCGUAGAUAUUCGCAAGAACACCAGUGGCGAAGGCGGCUCACUGGCCCUGUCCUGACGCUCAGGGGCGAAAGCGUGGGGAGCAAACCGG